rnacentral:rRNA from 1 species
GGGAUGAACGCUGGCGGCGUGCUUAACACAUGCAAGUCACGGGGGCCUGAGGCGCAAGCCGAGGGCAACCGGCGAACGGGUGCGUAACACGUGAGCAACCUACCGAAAUGAGGGGGAUAGCCGGCCCAACGGCCGGGUAAUACCGCAUACGCUCGAGACCAGGCAUUUGGACUCGAGGAAACCUCCGGGGCGUUUCGAGGGGCUCGCGGCCUAUCAGCUAGUUGGUGAGGUAACGGCUCACCAAGGCAACGACGGGUAGC